GAUGAAGAACGUAGCGAAAUGCGAUAAGUAAUGUGAAUUGCAGAAUUCAGUGAAUCAUCGAAUCUUUGAACGCACCUUGCGCUCUUUGGUAUUCCGAAGAGCAUGCCUGUUUGAGUGUCAUGAAAAUAUCAACCUUGACUUGGGUUUUGUGCUCUAGUCUCGGCUUGGAAUUGGGUGCUUGCCGCUUUUACGAGCGGCUCACCUUAAAUGUAUUAGCUGGAUCUGUCUUUGAGACUUGGUUUGACUUGGCGUAAUAAGUAUUUCGCUAAGGACAUUCUUCGGAGUGGCCUCGUUUCUAGGACGCUUGUCCGCUUCCCAAUACAAGUUCCACCUCGUGGACAUGACUUUUUAUUAUCUGGCAUAAAAUCAGGUAGGACUACCCGCUGAACUUAAGCAUAUCAAUAAGCGGAGGA
rnacentral:misc_RNA from 1 species